rnacentral:rRNA from 1 species
UACGGAGGGUGCAAGCGUUAUCCGGAUUCACUGGGUUUAAAGGGUGCGUAGGAGGGCAGGUAAGUCAGUGGUGAAAUCUCCAAGCUUAACUUGGAAACUGCCGUUGAUACUAUCUGUCUUGAAUACCGUGGAGGUGAGCGGAAUAUGUCAUGUAGCGGUGAAAUGCUUAGAUAUGACAUAGAACACCAAUUGCGAAGGCAGCUCGCUACACGAAUAUUGACUCUGAGGCACGAAAAGCGUGGGGAUCAAACAGG